rnacentral:rRNA from 1 species
UACGUAGGCAGCGAGCGUUGUUCGGAGUUACUGGGCGUAAAGAGUGCGUAGGCGGUUUUCUAAGUUUGGUGUGAAAUCUCCCGGCUUAACUGGGAGGGUGCGCCGAAGACUGGAAGGCUUGAGUAUGGGAGAGGUAGGCGGAAUUCCUGGUGUAGCGGUGAAAUGCGCAGAUAUCAGGAAGAACACCCGUGGCGAAGGCGGCUCUCUGGGACGGUACUGACGCUGAGACGCGAAAGCGUGGGGAGCGAACAGG